UAGCCAUGGUGUGGACAUGAAUUUAUGACAUCCUUAAAUUGCUCCCAAAAUAGAAAGAAGGUAUCAUCCUCUUUUUGUGAAAAAUUCAUGAUUGUUUUCCUUAAGGUA